AGCCCUGUAGUAAAGCUUACACAAGAUUGCAAAUCCUGAGACGGAGACGAAAGGAUCUCCCGGGGCUU
rnacentral:tRNA from 1 species